CAAAUUCAGGCCCAUGGUACCCUGUGUGUAAGAGUGUCAUGCUUUCUCCAUGAAGCAAUGCAUGCUAUUGACCUAGUGGUUUGGAGAACUAGAAACUGAGGAUGCUCCUCAGUCCUCAGGCAAUCUUUGAAAGGAACUAAAAUUGAAAGCAUACAGAGAGGCAGAAAGAGCUGGCCCAAAAAGUGACACUCAGUGGUGGUCUUUUCUCCUUUCAGUUCUUCACCACGGCCAGCUAAUUUUUGUAUUUUUAGUAGAGACAGGGUUUCACCAUGUUGGUCAGGCUGGUGUCGAACUCCUCAACUCGCUAUCUGCCCACCUAGGCCUCCCUCUUCUAGGGUUUUUAUGGUUUUAGGUUUUAUGUUUAAGUCUUUAAUCAAUCUUGA
rnacentral:lncRNA from 1 species